AUUGAACGCUGGCGGCAGGCCUAACACAUGCAAGUCGAACGAGUGGCGGACGGGUGAGUAAUGUCUGGGAAACUGCCUGAUGGAGGGGGAUAACUACUGGAAACGGUAGCUAAUACCGCAUACCAUCGGAUGUGCCCAGAUGGGAUUAGCUAGUAGGGGGGGUAAAGGCCUACCUAGGAGACGAUCCAUAGCUGGUCUGAGAGGAUGACCAGCCACAUUUGAACUGAUAAUCGGUCCAGACUCCUACGGUAGGCAGCAGUGGGGAAUAUUGCACAAUGGGCGCAAGCCUGAUGCAGCCAUGCCGCGUGUAUGAAGAAGGCCUUCGGGUUGUAAAGUACUUUCAGCGGGGAGGCGUUACCCGCAGAAGAAGCACCGGCUAACUCCGUGCCAGCAGCCGCGGUAAUUC
rnacentral:rRNA from 1 species